rnacentral:SRP_RNA from 1 species
GCUGGGUUUGGUGGUGUGUGCCUGUAAUCCCAGCUACUCAGGAGGCUGAGGUGGGAGAAUCGCUUGAGCCCAGGAGUUCCAGGCUGCAGUGAGCCAUGAUCCAUACCACUGCCCUCCAGCCUGGGCAACAGAGCGAGACCCUGUCUCUU